UUUCUCCUUUUUGGCCUGUUGAUAGUAAAACAGAUAAAGAAAUGAAUUCUGGAAAAAUCUUUUAUACUGAACACAAGAUGCCGCAUUCAAGCCAAGGAAGAACACAAAAAGAUUGCCAAGGCAGCAAACAGCCAGACUCCCACAGACUUCUCAAGUACAAGGAAAAAUAGACGAGCAACAAGUAGGAAACCAUCAGGAAAAUAAAGCAAAUCGGUGGUGAAGAACAAGAGGGCCCUAAAAGACAGACGGAGAGAAGUUGCCAUACCUAUACUCCUGGCUUUCUUCAAAAAGUUGUUUGGAAUCAUCCCAACUAGAAGAUGCAGUUAUCUCCUGCAAGACAUCAUAACCCUAGUAGGCUCUAAUAGAGACAGAAGACAGGACUAUGGACAACAUUUCCUUACCUUGUAAGUAUACAAUAAUUUAGUGAAGUCAUCAGCAAGCCGUUGCCGCUUUUUAGCUUCUUUC